AUGUCCCCUUGAGUUCCCUUAAACGCUUCAUUGUUCAUACUUUGUUUUCUAUCGGACCGAUGAUGAAUCAAUCUGAUGAACACUGAAGUGUUUGGGGGGACUCUAGGUGGCAU
rfam:Capsella rubella cultivar Monte Gargano unplaced genomic scaffold scaffold_2, whole genome shotgun sequence.